rnacentral:misc_RNA from 1 species
AACGCAUCUUGCGCUCCUUGGUAUUCCGAGGAGCAUGCCUGUUUGAGUGUCAUGUAAACCUCAACCUAGACUUUGGUGGAAUCCACCCUAGUCUGGCGUUGGACUUGGGCAUUUGUCAAUUCAGAAUCGACUUGCCUCAAAUAUAUUAGCAGCCCUCCUUCAUGAGCGGUUAGACUUGGCGUUAUAAACUUUCGCUGAGGAUCAUCCUUGGAUGGACCACUCUAGUUGACAACUGCUUCCUAAUACCUGUCUUGCAUAGCCUUCAAGCGUGCAGACAUCUCUUGACAUCUGGCCUCAAAUCAGGUAGGACUACCCGCUGAACUUAA